UUCACCUCCUAGGGUUUUCCUUGCACACCAGUGAAAUCGGUCCCGCGCUUCGGCGGUGGCCGAGUCUCUCGAAAAAGCCUUAUGGAGUGUUUUAUGUCUGAUCGUCAGAUCGGUACCGUCAAGUGGUUCAACGAUGCCAAGGGUUUCGGCUUCAUCAGCCGCGACAACGGCCCGGACGUGUUCGUGCAUUUCCGUGCCAUCCAGGGCAACGGUUUCAAGAGCCUGCAGGAAGGCCAGAAGGUGACCUUCAAGGUCGUGCAGGGCCAGAAGGGCCUGCAGGCCGACGAAGUGUCCCCGGCCUGACCGCCGCGGCAUUGGCCGACCGUUGAAGAAGCCGGGCAGCGAUGCCCGGUUUUUUUA
rnacentral:sRNA from 1 species